UUAGUUCAAAUUUUUUUCAAACUGAAACUUUUAAAACUUUUCUUCUUCAGAAUGAAUAGGUUAAAGGGUUUCAAAAUUUAUUAAAAAUUAUUUUGUGACGCACUAACAUUCAAAGAUCAAUUAUCGUCAAUUUUGGUUUCAAAAAAAUACAUAUUUUAUAUAGCCCUCCAUAUAGGUGCUAGUUUUCUGACUUAGAAAAUUUUCUGGAUCCUUAACGGCAGAUAGUCACAAAUUAUGCCCAAUUAGCUUCAAUAAAUUUUCACAAAGUAAGUUUAAUUCAAACUACUUUGAAUCAAUAGUUGAAUUGUAAACCACUUUGAAUUAAACUUGUCAAAAUUUGUUGAAGUCAGUUGGGCAUAAUUUGUAACUAUCUGUCAUUACGGAUUCUGAAAAUUUUUUAAGUCAGAAAACUAGCACCUAUAUGGAGGGCUAUAUAAAAUAUAUAUUUUUUUGAAAUAAAAAUUGAUGGUAAUUGAUCUUUGAAUGUUAGUGAGUCACAAAAUAAUUUUUAAUGAAUUUUGAGAUCCUUUAACCUAUUCGUUCUAAAGAAGGAAUGUUUUAAAAGUUUCGGAUUUGGAAAAAAUUUGAACUAAAACUCAAGUUGACUUCUUAUUCUUGAGGAUUUUAAUUUUUUUGAUAUUUUUAUUGAUUCCAAAUAGGGAGGUAUUUGCUUAUUUAUAUUUAUAUUUUAAAAUUAAUGGAGAGUAAAAUAAAUAUUAUUUACACAGAAGAAAGACAUAGAAAAGGGGAGAGUCGCUCUAUCAAAAGGAAGACAUAGAAAAGGGGAGAGUCACGCUAUCAAAGGGCGAUUUAUAAAGCGCCUGACAUAGAAAAGUGGAGAGUUGCAUGUUAUUUACACAGAACAUAGAAAAGGGGAGAGUAGGAAGAUAUAGAAAAGGAGAGUGUCGCCCUAUCAAAGGGUGAUUUAUAAAGCGCCUGACAUAGAAAAGUGGAGUCGCAUGUUGUUUACACAGAACAUAGA
rnacentral:lncRNA from 1 species